AAAAAAAACGCAGAAAGAAUCCACUCACUGUAUCGUCAAACAUGAUUCUUCUCCCCAAGUUCGCUUCUCUGGAUUCAGCCGCUUGAACCAUGAAGCCAUGCGAAUGAACACAUUGACAAGAUACAAAGAGACCCAAAAAGAGGCUCAUCAAAGCAUGCUACACAAAGUAAAGAUAGCAUAAAGUAACAGCACAAGCAAUGCAAUUGCUAAGUUGGUUGUCCCUGCUAAGAAAUAUUUUCCUGCUACAGUUUCUUGUCAAGUCCACAAAACUGCGUCGGUUAUUAAGAAUAAGUUGACAGAAGAGCAGAUGAGAAUGUUUAGGACAACUAACUUUGGUCCACUGUUCGACGUAGAUCUUGUAUUUAAUGGGCAACUUUUUCAUCAUUUUUUGUUGAGGGAAGUAACGGAUGCGAACCUAGGCGUUAUAUCAUUCAACAUACUGGGGAAUAGGGUAACAUUCUCUCAAGACGAUUUUAAUUUGAUAACUGAGUUGUGGCCGACCAAGGAAAUAAUAGAAAGACAAACAAGUGGUAAGAGACUAUGACAACUUAUUCUUGGACCGAAUGACCUAAAUGAUAAGGAUAGUUCUUGCAAGGAUGUGGAGAAUGCAUUCGAGAAGUUCACUUUUACAAACGAUGAAGAUGUCGUCAAGCUUGCAUUGGCAUUAUUCAUAAAAAAACAGUGAUGAUUGGAAAAGACAAGAAAACCCAAUUUGAUGUGAAAACAUUUGGGAUUGUCGAUGACCCUGAAGUCUUUAGACAUUAUGACUGGUCGUCCGUCUUUUCCAAACAUACAUUGAAUAGUAUGAAGAUUAUCGUGCGCGGGAAGGAGGCACACGAGUCAAAGAAAGUAGAAAAUGUUAUUUGUGCCUCAUUAUAAAGGGAUUUGCACUUGUAUUCUAGGUAUGUGCUUUCAUUUCCAUUUCACUUUAAUUUGUGUGCUAUGUUUGUGUAACAAAGCUCCCAUAUUAUAGGUUUGGACUUACAAAAUUUUAUCUACGUCAAAUAAGUAGAAAAUGCUAUUUGUGCCUCAUUAUAAAGGGAUUUGCACUUGUAUUCUAGGUAUGUGCUUUCGUUUCCAUUUCACUUUAAUUUGGGCGUUAUGUUUGUGUAACAAAGCUCCCAUAUUAUAAGUUUGGGCUUACGAAAUUUUAUCUACGUCAAGUAAGUUCAUAGCCACCAAAGUCAGCAACGCUGCAAUUCCUAGAAUUCUUAGAUGAACUUGUUCUCGUGCUCCAUCUUAUAAAUCCUUGAGUAAGAAUGCGUUUCAACCCAAAAAAACAUAGUGUUUUGACAAGACUUGUACCGAGCGCAGAGGUGAUAAUGUACAAAGAGUAUCGGUUGGAAAGACUCGAUGUGAUCCAUGAUGUGGAAAGAAGAAAGAUUGAGGAGGUUGAGAGUCAUGAUCACUUUCUUGAGACCCAUGAGUCCUUCGGAGGGCACGAUGGGUUUGAUCAACAUGUUAGGGAGCAAAAACACCCUCCGUCCGAUGAACCCCAUGUUGGUGAGCAAGAUCAGCAUGUAACUAAGCAUCAUGCGAUAAAGCUCAAAUCACGUAGACCGAUUCAUACUCUAACCAAGAGAAGGAUAAGAGGGGGCAGGAUGAAUCGUCAAAUACGCAAAAUAAGUCCUCAAAACAACUAAAUGGGAUAUGUAUGUAUAUAAUCAUAAACGAUUGCCUGGAAAAUCCUAAGCGA